GAGGACUUAUUAUGUGGACGGACAUGUACAGAAAGUUGAGGUCCAUCUCAUAAGCGAAGAGUGCAGCCACUGUUAUGUUCAAGCUUCCGUGCUGCCAUCAUUUCCAACUGCAGACAAAAGAAAGUCACCAGAGUACCAACCCUGGAUCCUUCUGUCGAAAGUGACUGGCUGCAUACACUCCGCGUUCUGCAACUGUCCAGCUGGUGAAGGUGAAUGCUGCAACCAUAUUGGUGCCCUGCUGUAUGGACUUGAAGACCUGACGCGUAAAAAAAACCCUUGCUCCAACAUCCAAACCCUGUGCCUGGAACAACUUCAGCAUGCUGUCUGCACCACGGAAACGUAAGCUGUCGCCUAGGAAAUCUGAAGAUCUUAUGUUCUCAAAGAAGAAACUGUACAACGUGUCAGUACGUAAAGUUUCUGUAAACAAAAACCA